GGGAUUGUAGUUAAAUAUAACAUUUGAUUUGCACUCAAAAAGUAUUGAUUAUUCAAUUUUUCUCA
rnacentral:tRNA from 1 species